GAUUCCGAAAAUUCGCGCUGGAAGAAGCUAUAAUGGGAUCAAUGUCUCUCUGCGCCACGACACAUCAUUGUGCCGUCUAACAUCACCCUUCCUUGCUGUGCAAAAUUGCAGGACAAGAUGGAUCGUCUGUGCGAACAGGCUUCUCCCGGGGUCCCCGCUGCUGGGCUCUACCUCUUUAUACACCAAGAAGAUCCUGAUGUGGGCUCUAGGACAUCAAUAUCUUCACUAAAGGAGAUUUACACCCUCCACGUUGUCACCACCCACUGCAGUGUCUCUGCAGGACCUACUGGAUUCUGGGAAACUCCUGGAAGAUGGGCAUUUCUGAAUCUCAUGGCGGCAGCCACGACCUGAUCGAAUCUUCCGGGAGACCUGUCUGCCCUACCUGCCUCCAAAAGGCCCAGUGGCUCCCACUUCCCUGUAGAAGACACACCAUUGCAGCUGAGUGGGACCUGGCCACUAUGUGGACUGAACAAGAGAGGAAUGAAGAUGGUGGGGACGGAGGGAGGUGUGAUGGACGCGUGCCCGACACCACGCUCGUCUUACAGGAGACGCUGAAGGUGCGCCGUGCACCCCUGAAUGCUCUGCAGAUGAACGGAGAGUCUGCAGCUUGGACCACACACACUCCUGUUAAAGUCGUCGGCUUCAAGGACUCCCUUCUGAGAUGCACAGAAUCCAUAAGCUGCACUGUAGUUCUAGUGAUUCAUGUUGAACCUACACCUAUGCCUUUUUAAAAUUUAAAUGUACAAAAUGUGCUGAGCCCCUAGGCAUCUGUAUUGGAAUACAUUUCCAGUCUUCUGACAUGAAUGCCCUCAGUCUUACUGAUGGAAACAGACUGUGGGGUUGCUGUGUAAUUUCCAUUCAUAUUGUAUUAAAAUGUUCGAGAUGCAUUUUCUGUCAAAGAGAGUAUCAUUUCAUAAAAUUAUUCACUAUUCCCCCAUAUGGAAAUGUCAGACAUUGCUAAUGUAAUCCUCAAAGAAUUACCCAGAGUGUCUGUAGACCAAGAGACAGAUUUCCAGUGCUGUAGCACAGGAUGGCUUGUUCACUCUGUUCUUGGGGAAGCAGUGUGAGUUGUGAGUUUUCCCUCCAUGUCUACGCAGGGUCACCCUGUGAGCGACGUCUUUUACCUUUUUCUGCUUCUCUCAGUUACCCUAUGGCACAGAAACUGAAAACAUCAUAAAAAACCAGAAGAUGUGUUAUUUCCUUGGUUUUGUGACACUCUUCAUGAGUGACUUUCACCUUUGCUACAUGCAGAGAGCGUCUGCAAAUACACAUUCCAGUCUAGAUGAACCUAUCUGAGGGCAGCGGUGGAGACGCAGGCGUAGAGAACAGACUUGUGGGCUCAGUGUGCGGAGGAGACGGUGGGAUGAAUUGAGAGGGCAACACUGACGUGUACAUGACCAUGUGUAAAAUUAGGCAGCCAGCGGGAAUUUGCUGUAUGAUGCAGGGAGCUCAACCGCUGCUCUGGGACAGCCUGGAGGGAGGGGAUGGGCUGGGAGCUGGGAGUGGGGUU
rnacentral:lncRNA from 1 species